rnacentral:rRNA from 1 species
UACGGGGGGGGCAAGCGUUGUUCGGAAUUACUGGGCGUAAAGGGCUCGUAGGCGGCCAACUAAGUCAUACGUGAAAUCCCUCGGCUUAACCGGGGAACUGCGUCUGAUACUGGAUGGCUUGAGUUCGGGAGAGGGAUGCGGAAUUCCAGGUGUAGCGGUGAAAUGCGUAGAGAUUAGGAAGAACACCAGUGGCGAAGGCGACUUACUGGACUGUAACUGACGCUGAGGCAUGAAAGCGUGGGGAGCAAACAGG